rnacentral:rRNA from 1 species
UGGGGAAUAUUGGACAAUGGGGGGAACCCUGAUCCAGCCAUGCCGCGUGUGUGAAGAAGGCCUUAUGGUUGUAAAGCACUUUAAGCGAGGAGGAGGGUACUGGUAUUAAUACUACCAGGUACUGGACGUUACUCGCAGAAUAAGCACCGGCUAACUCUGUGCCAGCAGCCGCGGUAAUACAGAGGGUGCGAGCGUUAAUCGGAUUUACUGGGCGUAAAGCGUGCGUAGGCGGCUAAUUGAGUCGGAUGUGAAAUCCCCGAGCUUAACUUGGUAAUUGCAUUCGAUACUGGUUAGCUAGAGUGUGGGAGAGGAUGGUAGAAUUCCAGGUGUAGCGGUGAAAUGCGUAGAGAUCUGGAGGAAUACCGAUGGCGAAGGCAGCCAUCUGGCCUAACACUGACGCUGAGGUACGAAAGCAUGGGGAGCAAACAGG